UACGGGGGGGGCAAGCGUUGUUCGGAAUUACUGGGCGUAAAGGGCCAGUAGGCGGCCAACUAAGUCGGAUGUGAAAUCCCCAGGCUUAACCUGGGAACUUGCAUCCGAUACUGGAUGGCUUGAAUUCGGGAGAGGGAUGCAGAAUUCCAGGUGUAGCGGUGAAAUGCGUAGAUAUCUGGAGGAAUACCGGGUGGCGAAGGCGGCAUCCUGGACCGACAUUGACGCUGAACCGGCGAAAGCUAGGGAGCAAACGGGAGUUAGAAACCCUG
rnacentral:rRNA from 1 species